rnacentral:lncRNA from 1 species
GUUCUUUUUGUGCCUAUUUUAACAGAGUCUCAAUCAUAGCAUUCCUUCCUCUCUGAAGGGACCAGGUAACACACGGAGUGCCUUGGCAGCCUCAUCAUUGCAUGCAAUCUUCACAGACAAUAUCUCACUGCAGCCACCUUUCUACAGGAGUACAGGUGUGACAUUAUACUGAUGACAUCAUUCUCAGAGAAAAUUCAUUUUAUACACUAAGGACACACAGACACAAAGAGCCUUAUACAAAGGGAAUGGACCUUUCCCCAACACAGCAGUGCAAGGCCCUGCCACUUUGCUUCAAUUCCUGAAAAUUCCUUGGUAAACUUGGGGCUGCUCUAUUCCUGACACUUUCAAGAAAUAGUUAUUCAUCCUCUCAGCAUCCACAAUGUUAAUACAAGCCCAACAUUCUUUAAUUUGUGUUUUGUUUUUUGGAGACACAGUCUUGCUCUGUCACCCAGGCUGGUAUGAAGUGGCAUGAUCUGAGCUCACUGCAGCCUCGACCUCCUGACCUCAAGCAAUUCUCCCAUUUCAGCUUUCCAAGUAGCUAGGACUACAGGUGUGUGCCAUGACACUCAGCUAAUUUUGUUUAUUUUUUUGUAGAGAAAAGCUCUCGCUAUGUUACCCAGGCUGGUCUCGAACUCCUGGGCUCAAGCGAUCCUCUGGCCUCGGCCUCCCAAAGUUCUGGGAUUACAGGUGUGAGUCCCUGUGCCCAGCCCUUUAAUUCUUUACUUGGGGUUCAGGUGACUACAUAUUUCUUAAUUACAAAUUUUACUUAAUCUCGCUGAUGCUGUCACUUGAAAGCUGACCCACCUUGAAUGAAGCCUCCUCCAACAAGUCUGGAAUCCAUCCGAAUUUAAAUUAACAGGCGCUCCUAUGAAUUUCAUCAGAGAACACACUGUAGAUGCUUUAGCAGCCUCUUCCCAUGCCUCCUGAAGUAUCUGGUUUGCAUGUGGUGGCCAUAAGUAGUCCAUGGGCUUCUGAUGUAAAAAACAAACCUGCCUCUUUUGACCCUGUGCUGUACAGCAUCAGGGCAGUGAUUGCUGGCCACAUACUGGACCCUUGAAAGAGAGGGCUCUGCAUCCAUGUCCAUGAGCCUUCAUGCCCAUCUGGCCAUCAGGCCUUGGGAAGCAGCACCCCACAGCUUUGGCACAGCUGCAGAGACCUCCUUGCCUCCGAAUGGAGUCAAAUCUGUACCCCCUGCAAUUCUCAUCUGCAGGAAGCACUGGCCUCCUUCAUCCUUAGGCUAUAAUGCUGACACUGGCCUCCUUCAUCCUCAGACUGUGGUGCUGGAUGUCACCCCUCUGCGAGGCCCUUGGGAUCGACUGAGAGACCAGCAGUGAAGUUCGUCCACCUUCUGAAUGGAUGCCAUGAUCGGACGUGAUGGAGCUCAGUGGGAUGCUGCUGCUUUCCCUCCCUUAGCUAGGAUGUCCCUGAUAAAGGAUGACACCCAAGCCUCAGCACAACUGGCCAAACUUGAGGUGGUCAUCAUAGCACUGAUGCUGGGCCAACAAUUAGCCCCACUUGUACCUUUUUACAAACUUUUUGACAAUUGCCAAGAAUUGUCCACCUUCCCUCCCCAUUGAAUUAAAUAAACUUCUUGUCUCAUGGAUACUCAGAAUACCAAACAAGGUAACAGAUGCCUUUAUUUUAACUCAGGACACAGUACAGCUCUCACAGGGACACUCCUUAUCCCUUGCAGAGUUCCAGACACUACUGAUGAUCACCAAAGCAACAUUUCAUCAGAAAACACAGUGCUGGGCUUGUGAAGAAGGUGUCCAGCAGAGCUUCCACUGCCCCUGUAGGAUGCAGGCAGCUGCUUCAGUUGAGAGAUACACUGAGCUCCUCAAAGAAUUCCUAUUUAAGGUAC